rnacentral:rRNA from 1 species
UACGAAGGGGGCUAGCGUUGCUCGGAAUCACUGGGCGUAAAGGGCGCGUAGGCGGCCUUGUCAGUCAGGCGUGAAAGCCCCGGGCUCAACCUGGGAACGGCGCUUGGGACGGCGAGGCUGGAGUUCGGGAGAGGAGAGUGGAAUUCCCAGUGUAGAGGUGAAAUUCGUAGAUAUUGGGAAGAACACCGGUGGCGAAGGCGGGUCUCUGGGCCGUUACUGACGCUGAGGAGCGAAAGCGUGGGGAGCGAACAGG